ensembl:lncRNA novel transcript
AGGCUGGAGAGCGGGGCGCGGGCAGUAGGUACCUGAAGCGAGGCUCGGCCGGAGGCUUCGGGCAGAGAUGUGCUGCUGUCAGUCGGGCAGGCCAGCUUUAGCGGCUCAGCCCUGCAGGUCACUUCCAGUUAUGGGACUUCCGCCCACUUUACAGGGCUUUGACUCUUGGGUCUGAAGAAGGCACCAGCCCCUGCUAAAUUCUGAGCAUUGACACCAGUGGAAGCCUCAUCCUCAGACUUGGAAGAAGAACUACGCACAAAAAAAACCAUUAGGAAGUAUCCAAAUGCCAAGUUUUCACAAAACAAUUAACGAAGUCUAUCCCCUGGGUGUGAUCAUGCUCUAAAAGGAAGAAAAAUGAUCUGAUCCCUCCUGAUAAGAACUGGUUUUGAUGUGACCAAGCUUUGGAAAAUGCCACCUUGUCCAAGAGACAGGAGAAAAGCACGCUUCCGGUGGGAGGACGUCUGUUUACAGCUCGGGGAAGCUAUGACAGCACAAUGUGGUGUGGACACAUGCGGGAACGUGGCUGGCUGCCCCCACGGGCUGCCAGAGCUAUUUUCCAGAUAUGGCAGCAUCCCCACCAAGCCCUGCCCAUCUCAGCACAGCCAAAAGCCCAGACGGGGAGCCUGCAUGUCUGGCCUCGAGCCCUGACCAGCCUCCGGCCUCCAAGCGCCUCCUGAGGCAUCUGCCCUUCACCCCCAGGCCACGCCCCACCCUGUGUCCACUACAUUCUUGUCCCACCAGCCCCUUUGAAGUCUGCAUCUCUGACAGCAGGUUCCAA